CCUGGCGGUAAAUGCGCGGUAGCCCCACCUGAUACCAUGCCGAACUCAGAAGUGAAAUAUCGUAGCGCCGAUGGUAGUAUGAACUUGUUUUCAUGUGAGAGUAGGAAACUGCCAGGU
rfam:Candidatus Baumannia cicadellinicola strain B-GSS, complete genome.